UACGAAGGGUGCUAGCGUUGUUCGGAAUUACUGGGCGUAAAGCGCGCGUAGGCGGUUUACCAAGUUGGGAGUGAAAGCCCAGGGCUUAACCUUGGAAUUGCUCUCAAAACUGGUAGGCUAGAGUUCGGUAGGGGAGAGUGGAAUUCCUAGUGUAGGGGUGAAAUCCGUAGAUAUUAGGAGGAACACCGGAGGCGAAGGCGACUCUCUGGACCGACACUGACGCUAAGGCGCGAAAGCGUGGGGAGCAAACAGG
rnacentral:misc_RNA from 1 species